GAGGAAGUCUUCUGCAACGAGCAAUUUCGUCUUCAGCUUACAGAUUAACAAUGGCAAGGAUACCAAGACGACUACAGGACUUGGAACUUACAAUGCAUGAUCCAGAACAUGUGCAGCUUGGUGAAGAAAAUCUGCAAGGUCCUCCAGAGAUUGAUAAUAUAGUACUAGGAAGAUCUCAUGAAUCCACUAGCCAAAUCAAGAUAAUUUGUAAGUCUCGAUGUGCAGGAGCCACGAACUACUAUGCAGGAGCUGCAACAAACCAAAUCAAAAGAGGGUUGUGGCAGUGCGCCUUUACCACAUGAACAUGUGAUCACUAAGAAUGCCCAUGCUGAAAAUAAUCUUCCCGUGCAGCAAGGCGGUCCUGAACCAAGUUUACGACUUCAAGUCGCUAAGCAGAAUGAUAAUGCUCAAAAUAACAAUGCAACCAAGCCAUGUGGUCAUCACCAAGUCGCUAAGCAGGUACAUAUAGGCUACAUAUCCAAAUGACAAUGAUUGUAUAAUAGAUAGUUGGUCUAAUUAUUUUUGAAAUUGUUCUUAUUUGUGUAAAAUAAAAUCUUCUCAAGUUCAUCAAUAACAAAUGUUUCAUUUCUUAAAAAAAUGGAUAAAGUUGAAGUUGUGUUGUAUUCAAUGAACUCGAGAAAUAAAGACAAACUCGUGGCCAAAGGAACUUUAGUGAGUAAAGAGAAAACAUGUGGUUGGAGGAAACAUGCUUGGAGUGCAAUACGUUGCAGUUCUUAUUCGCGGCUGUACAUAUCUAGGAGAUGAGAAAGUAGUUAGACCAUAUGAAAAAUUCCAAACAGUAAGGGAUGCUAUGGGUUCUAUUAUUGCUUGGCCUCGCUCACAUGUAAGUAUGUUUUCAUUCAAGCAUUGUGUAUGCUCCAAUCUGCACAUGUGUGAUAUGUUAUUUAUCCUGAAUCUUUCUGGUUUUUAGGUAAAAAUAGUUAAGCCAACUCCAGCAUAACCACAAAGCAUUGGGUUGUGAGGAGUUGAAAAGUGAGUGCAUUAAAGGAGCUAGGAGUGGCUAGUUAGUUGAGGAUUUGAAAAGGGGGUGCACUGGACGAGUCAGGAGCAGUUGAUGAAUCAAUCUUUGAACGAACAAAUAUUCUGGAUUAUGUAUAGAUUUUAGCUUCAUAGAGAAAAAUAGUUCCAGUCUAUAGGAUCUUUUCUUAUUUAUUUUCAACAUUGCAUGUUUCAUAUGAAUGUUUGAUAUUAUUUUGCUGUGAAGUCAACGUACUUUUAGUGGA